rnacentral:misc_RNA from 1 species
AAUGUCGUAACAAGGUUUCCGUAGGUCAAGUUUAGCCUGCCACAGCGGGUCAACCUCGCUAGUCUCCGCUGGAGGCGACACGCUCAACCUGUGGGAAGGCCCGUCCCGGGAAACUCCACAGCCCACUUCCCUCGCCCGGAAGUCGGUUUAGAGGCUCAAUGAGCGUGGGUGCUGAUCUCAGCGCUUGAGAUAGAGUCCGUCCCAGCUGGUAACCGCUGGGGGCCGAACGGAACCUGCGGAAGGAUCAUUACAGAAUUGACGGCUUUACGAAGCCAGAUUCUCACCCCCGACUGUAGGUGCGCGAUUCGUCUUGCUUUGGCCUUGGGCCGGGUCCUGGCCUGGCCUGGCCCUGCAGAGGGUAAAAGCCCCUUGAAUCUCUGCAGUCUGAGCACGAUAAAUAGUCAAA